CAAGGGGUCAUGUCUUGGCCACACCAGAAGAAUUUUGUUUGGGUGACAGUUUCAGAAGUGCACUCAGGCUAUUCAAUUUUAUCUGAAAGCUACUUUUUAAAACAUGGAAGUCUAGAGACUUUUACAAGAGAAUGUUAACCUUUAGCCUAUGUUUGCGUAAGGAGUGCGUUACCGGAAUGAAAAGACAUAUCUACUGUAUAUUAGCACUAGAGCUAGAAGGGCAAAGAUUUGUACUUUAUACAUAUACCAAAGUCACUGUGGCCUCCUACUCACCUGCCCUCAGGGGAAAAAAGCUAUUCUGAAGAAAAAAUGUUGUUUUUCCUGUAAGGUAUUUUAUCAGUGUAGCUGUGUUGGGUAGGGCUCAGACCUUUGCACCCUUUCAGAGCAAAUUUCUUGGACUGGAAACCUAGAUGAAUACUUAAUUUUCACUUCUCAGAUCCAUACUUGGAGGUCAUUUGCUAGUACCCUAGCUCCCUGGAAUGCACUUCCUCCUAGUUUCCUAGCAAAUAAAAGUCUUGAUCCUUGGGUUUGAUCUUUUGGCUAAAAUUACCUUCUGAAGUCUUUUAUUCAAGCUGAUUCAUCUUCUUAACACCUUCAUCUAGUUAAUUCCAAAAUUUCUGGAUGAUUCCUGCCACGUAUUAGAUCAUAUUGUGAAGAGAAGCUGCCUACAAUAUUUCAUGAAAAUAACAUGAUUCAUCAUUUGUUUGCUGUUGCAUUGGUUGCUAUACAAUUGCCUACUAGCAUGAACCCUAGGAUGGCUGUUUCCAGUAGUCUGAGUCAUCACUUUCUAGCCAUGGCACUUAUGUGAAAUUUUACCUGUGUGUUGAGUUCUACACUGUGUCUUGGUUCAUGGAAGGAGAAACCCACUCUGGGAUCUGAAAGUGAGCUCUUUGGCAAACCUCAGAAGAAUGCUGGUAGCAGUGAGAGGCAGAGAUUUCUGCAGAGCACACCAUAGACAAAGUACUGAUAACUGGUUUAUCCAAGGCAAGCUAACUUUUGUGAAGUUUUUAUUUGGUAAACGUUGUCUUUUUCUGACAAUUACAGUUCAGGAGGGCAGUCCAGGAAUUGUUCCAGUUGCACAGUAUGUCUUAGACUGGCCUUUUCAAAGGGGAAAAGGAGGACAAAAGGGGAGAAGGAGCUCUGCACAAACUUAUUCAGUAAGUACAGAUGUAGUCAGUGCUAAAUUUGUCUGGGGAAGAGGGGAGCAAAGGCCUCUUUUUGUCUUAAGAACUGUGAUUGCUAGUGAAGUUUCAAGACUCCUGAGGGGAUCAGACAGUACUUCAUUUGAGGAAGCUAUUUGUAUUCACUGUUCUUUGCUCUCAGACAUACUCCACAUGUGAUCAGCAUGUCUGUGUUAGCAGAAUAGGGCAGAGUAGAUGUGGUUGAAGAGGCACUUUGAGAUAUCACUUUGUUCAGUGAGUGACAUCCUGGAUAUAUGUGCUGGUACCAUGGGUCAGUCAGUUUGCUCAGUAACCACGAUUGGUGCCUGCCAUGGACUGUUUGAGGCAAAGGCCAUCUAUAAGCCACUGCCAGUGUGGCUGGGGUGGGGAUAGCAAAAUCACGUCUACUCUCCUGGUUCUCCUGGUCUAAGCUACAAGCUCUGCAAAGUCCUAAAGGAAGGAUCCCUCCUGACUGCCAUGGGCAAGGAGAGGGCAUGAGGUUUCACACUUGGUGAUCUCUGCACAGGUCUGCAAAACAGCAUAGCACCAUUCCUGCACACCCUUUCCUUCCUAGUCUGUCUUUCUUCUCACCAAUGUAUGUAUCAGAAGCGUGUAUAGCCCGUACCAACAUGGUUCUGUUUGCAUUCCAGCUUUAAGAUUGUUUAUGGCUCUUCUGAAGACCCUAUGUGGGAUGUGUGGGCUGUGGUGGGCCAGUGUGAGGAAGUCCUUGUGUUGCUCCCCAUAACCCUCCCUGAAGUCACACUGCUAGAGGGAGGCCUAACAUUGUCUCUGGCAUGAUCGAGCUCUCCAAGUUCAAGGCCUACAGCAUGGAUGGAGGUUGGGAAGUGAGAAUGACCUCCACCCACAAUCCUCCUAAACCACACUGACCCUUCUCAGCUCCUGUAUCUCACUUGUGUCACCAAGACAGAAUCCUCCCUAUCUAUAUGGGAUGUGGUAAGCUAUUUAAGUAAUGGUAUUUUUUUGCUAUAAUCCUCAAGGUAACAAAAUUUAUUUUGCCUAAUCUGCUAAAAAUUUGUGAACUGGCUGUGAUACCUUAGAGAAGGUGGGAGCAGCAGAUAGUGUAGUGUGCUUUAGACAUGAUGAAUUUAUCUACAGUUUUGCCUUUUGCUUCCUGAUUGGCCAAAUUUUGGCAAGGAUGUGUAUUAAAGGAACAUAGGAAAAGUGAGUUUACACUUUGUUGGAGUGUUAUUGUGUAGAAAACAUGAAUUCCAUGGAAAAAAAACAGUUUGGGCAAGGUCUCUGGCAACCAUACAGAUUCAACCAGUUCAGCUUCAUACCCAAGUUAUAUAAGGAUGCACAGGGCCUGGACAAGCUGAAGAUAGGAAGUGUCCAAGACUGGAGAUUCCACUGCUUCUUGGGGCACCUGUGCCAGUGCAUAACCACUCCUUUGCAUCCAGUCUGAAUUUCUUUUGCUGUGGGCUGUGGCUGUUGCCUCUCAUCUAAUUAUUGUGUAUCUGAGACGAGUCUGUCUUCAUAUCCUCUAUAAUCCCCUCUACUUUAAUGAUGAAAACUCUCUGUAUAUGACUACUCUGGUUUAAUGUAAUCGUUCCCAGGAUACAGGUUAUCAGUUGUGCAGCUCCAGCUGCAUAUUUGACCACUGUGGCUGUAGUUUUUCCAUAGCUUUUGCAAUUGCAAAAUCACAGUUCAACAGAAUGCAGUUUAGCUCAUGCUGUCUCCAGCAUAUACAGCUUGAUUUUAAGUCACGCCAGUGACAUCUAUCUAAUUAAUACUUCUGUAAGGCAAAUUCAGUCUUAUUGCUGCAGUAGUGAGGUAUUUAAAGUGAUAAAAAUAUUAUUUUGAUACUGCACUGUAGAAAAAUCACUGGUUCAACACCCAUUUAUAUGUGCUUUUGUGCUCUUUCCACUUCAAUUCUCCACGCUCUUGGGGUUCAGUAAGAUUUCACAAGUGUAUCUGGACAGGAAUGGGGGCAAGUCUAGGAGUUAGCUUUGUUCAACAUUCUCCUUGCAAAGCCUAGUCGGAAGCCAAUGUUUGCAAAGCUUCAUAUUCAAUAUUACGUUGUGUGGUUUCCCUAUGGAAAAUAUAAGGCUGGAAAGGAGAAGCUGAACAGUCUGCAGAAUGUCUUGUGUCAGACCUCUAGAAUGCAAAGAAUUUGGAGUCUGGUUUCCCUACAUAGCUCUGUAUUCACCCUUCAAAAGAAGGCUGUUUGCCAUGUCAUGGGGGUUUUAUGUCCUUUAUCCACGAUAUACUGUGGGCAGCUAUGACAUAGCCCUAUGUUAUUGUAAAGGUCAGUUAAGUCAGCUCACAGAGAGAAAGGUGGAAGAGGAGAGGAGAAAGAGGAGGGAGAGAAAGGGAGUGAGUACUCCUACUCCUUCCAAGUAGAAUUGCUAUUUCAUUGGCAAUACUGCUCUUCCCACUAGAUUCUAAUGAGAGCAAAGCAGAGGAUGGCAUAGUUUCAUUUUGUUUAAUGGCACAGGAUUUGUCAGCAAUAUAACAAUCCUACAGAAACCUGCAGCGGUGAUAAGUAAAUAGUUAUGCUGAGAAGAAAUAUUGACUGUACAUGACACACUCCACUCUUUUGAGUAUUUAAGUUCCUCAUGGUACUCCUGGCAGACAUCAAUGAUCUCCAGUACAUGCUGUUUUUAUCGGGGUUAGGAGAAUAUAUCCCAAAACUGCAGCUUUUUCAAAUAUUCUGGGAGUUGUCAGUGCUUAUCCUUUGGAAGAGAAUUGCUUUAAAGUCUGAGUGUAACAAGGAAAACUUCCAUAUACUUAUAUUGCACUUGGUAAAUAAAAUAUUUAAUAAAAAAAAUUCAUGAAGUGCUGUUCAGAAAGGAUGACAUAUUGUUGUACAUGGAGGUUACAAGGGAUUGCAGUGAAAAAGAUUGAAAUAAUUAACGUCCCUAUAAAUUAUAUUAAUGAUUCUGAUAAUGUUUGAAAGUUGAAAUGAAUAUUUAGACUUAGUUUACACUCUGUGAAUUCUUUUACAGAUCCUUAAUUUUUUACUCCAGGAAACUCAAAUUGUCGUAGGGCAUGACCGACAUUUACAAACAGCAAAUAAUAUGAUUUCAAAAUACAGUCUCCAAGGAGAAGUACAUUCUUGGAUUAGUAGGAUAUUAUAAUUCUUUCCCAGUGGUUCUGUACUUUGGCAAGAUAUCUCCCUGGAUGUUGGUAACCAGAAACUGCAGAUGGGCUGGAACAGCUGAAGAGGGAAAGUCUGAAGUGAUUUUUAUACGUAGAUGAGAUGCAUCCAUGCCCAGCAUCCAACAGACAGUCAUAGCUACCGGUCACAGGACACUUGUUAUGACCUGCUGAACCAGAAUGAGAGAGAUUGCUUAUCAGGCCAGACAAAAACUUAUGUUCCAGAAAGGGAACACCAAGGUGUUCAAUGCAGUCUGCAGCCCAUUUGUUACGUGAGAUAGCAGCUCUCUACAAUACCUGUGUCAUGCUUGAAUCUGACCCAUUUCCAGAUCAGGAUCCUGCUACUUUUCUGCAUCGUGCACAAUACUGUAAU